UAAGUCCUGUAAAUGGUAGGCAUGCACUAAAUGGAGGCUGCAGGAGUUACGUCUCCAUAAUUAAUCUUGGAAGAUGAAUUUGAAAACCUAUCAAGUCUUAGAAAACUGUCUUAGCUUUGCUGAAUUGAACGUACAUGGGGUCCUUACUAUCGAGACUGUGUUCUUCAUAUACUACUUCCCACUAAAAGGCACCAGGCUCCUUGUAGAAAUGGAGGAUUCCAGGGACAGGGCAUGGAAGGUAGAGGAGGAUCCUGAAACGUCUUGAAAUGUGCAGGCCAAGUCAAAAGACAUAGGAGCCAGCUUGAAGGGUCUCUUCUGGCAUAUCAUGGGUCACUUAGAACAUCACAAAGGAAAACAACUGUACGGGGAAUACAAAAAAAUCCAUGAGGUCCAUAUCACACUUUUCAAAAACCACUGGUCAUUUUCAGAGCAUCAACUCAUUACUCUGGAAACUGCGAAAGAGAAGGAAUAAAACAAAUAGCCUAUAUAUCAGGAUAACAAAAUAGUUGAUGGAGGUAUAUUUUUCUUCAUAGGUGAAUUUCAGCUAAUAAAUGCAGAAGGUAUGAUAGAUUAAAAUCCCCUAUUUUGCAACACCUAAUAAAAUAACAAAUUUAGGGAACGGUUAUCGUUAAUAGCUGUAAAAACCCAUGAGAUGAACUUGACAAGGAAGUGGAGGAAUCAGGCGGACACCACCUAAACCUAUGGUUAAUCUUAGAAUGUGGGACAACCAGAUGCUAUGUGCACCAAAAUGUGAUGUGGUAGGAGGUGAAUAGCACCGCCAUUGAUUCUAAAUCUAAAAAGUCUCUAGAUGCAUCUGUUGGUUUGUGGGAAAUAUGGAAAAGAGAGAGACAAUUGAAUAGUAGGGUGGGAAAUCAUUAGCCAAAUCUAGAAUAAAAAAAUUAUCUUGUUUUUUAAAACAAAUCAAUGGCAGGGAAAUGAACAGGAGGAAUUAUAAGGUCCAAUUGUAAAACAGAACCCACCCAAGGUAGUUCAAUAAGUGGCAUUUAGGAGAGCUGUUACAAAGAGUGGAAAAGUGAAGAGGGCUAAUGGAGAACAGUCACACCAGGAAGUACCAUCACACUUCCUGGUGCAGCAGAGCCCAGGGUCAAGCUGCCCAGGAGUGUGGAACCCUAGGUGAGGGGCCACCUGAUAAUACAUUCUUCAGGUAAUAUACUUUUUCUCUCUACUAGCUUAUAAGAUCUUUUAUUUAUUUAUUUUUUCUGUCUUGGAUGUUCUAGGGAUGAUUUCUCUAGGUAUGAUUUAUUUAUUUGGCUUGGUUAUUAAGUUCUGAAAAAUUCUCAGCCAUUCUCCCUUUGAAUAUAUUUCUCCUGCAUUUCUUUAGUCUCUCCUUUUGAAAUUCCUCUUAUAUGAAAAUGGAAUAUUCCCACUGUCUCUUUCAAGACUUUUUACUGGCCUUUCGUAUCUUCCAUCUCUUUAUCUCCCUCUUUGCUACAUUUAGUGUGAUUUCCUCAGAUUUAUUCUUCAAAUCACUAAGUUUCUUAUUGGUUGUGUUUAAGUUUUUGUUUCUCUCUCUCACUGAAUUUUUAACCAAGGACUAUAUUCUUAGUUUCCAGGGAAGCCGGGCACCAGUUUUUCUAUUAAUGUCUCAGGUGGGAGAUUCCUAUACUACACAAAUGAUAUGAAUUCAGAUCUCCUACUCUGUGCAGUAUCAACCAAAGUGGUAACUUCUCAAGGGUAAUUUUUUGCUGACUAAACUCCAAAGAAAGGCCGCUAACCUCUUCUCCAUCUCUUUGUAGUUUGGGAGGACAGGGGACCCUGUGAGUCUCCAGGCCUCACACAGAGUAGUUGUUGUUCCUCUGUCCUGUCCGGGGCUGGAUCAUGUCUGCUGUCCUUUCAAGAGCAUUCUAAAUGCUGUCAUCCACCCCUGUGGCCACUGCUGGUUCAGCUUUCUCCUACAAUUCUGCCUUUACUGUUUGAUCUUUGUUUCCAUCUGAAAGAAGUGGGCCUUUAUUUUUUGACACUUGGUUAUGUAAGUCUUUUGUCACAAUGUCUUAUUCAUUACUUCUACGUAUUUAAAACCAGAAAGUGGCAUCAGCUCAAUCCACUGUGCUGCCAGAAGUUUCUAGUAGCAGAAGCUUUAAAAGGAAGAAAUGUAAUGAUGAGUAGAGUAUACACAGAAAUAUACAUACGUCCUUAAUUACCUAGAUAUUCAGUGCCUUUGCUCUGUACUCUGGGUAUUACCACAUUGGAUAAAAUCCCUGCCCUUAAAGGACAUCACCUUGUAAUGAAAAUAUACAGAAAUGCACAGAAAUAGUAAAGGAGAAAUAAAGGGGAAGAAAGGAGAAAGUGCAGAAUGUGGGUGUAAAACUCACACCUGAGCAGGGCUCACGAUAAAGCCCUUCCCUCCGGGAGCACACACAUGGCGAGGAGGGCGAUAGCCAGAAAGUUCAACCCAAGUGCAGGAGAUGCAAAAACAUAGUACUUUGGUUGGCUGCCGUAUUCUAUGUCACUUCCGUCUGUGCAACGAUGAAUUGCUAAAGAAGUUACAUGCAAGCGUUUUCAAACUUAAUUACAUUUUAAGUGUCAAGGGAAUCUGUGUCUCAAGGCAGCUUUCAUAGUGGCCUCUGCCAUGCACAGCUGUGGUGUCCACUGGCCUCGCAGCUUCUUGUGACCCAUCCAUGAUCACUGAUGUCUGGCUCACUCUUACACCCCCAGCACCAGAUACAGGACAUGACACGUAAGAUGGACUCAACAAACACCUGGCCACUCAAUGAAACAACUACUCUCCAAGCCCGUGCACCCAGCUUCAUGCAUCACACAUUAUUCUUGGAAGGCCCUGGUGUUUUCCAUCCUGCAGGAUCCAUAGGAAAGUGUCUUUCCCUAACCCAAGGCCUCCAACACCUUCAUGUAAAGGCUGCUGAGUGGCAGCAGAGCAUGGGGACUCUGGCUUUUCUCCACCCCACCCUCUUAUUUUCUUUUCCAGUGAGAAGCUGCCAAAGUAAAACAGAUUCAUUCUACUCACAGGAUCCUGAAGUGGCCUCCUGCCCUCCAGGGGACGCCCAGGUGACGGCCUGUUCCCGGGCCACACUGAUCCUUCGCCAUACAUGUUAUAAAGCCCUAUUAGCCAGGUCCUGGUUCCCAAGCCCAUGCACGGCAGCAAUGGGGCUCAAUCCAGCCCUCUCACCAGGACCUGCCC